rnacentral:rRNA from 1 species
UACGGAGGGUGCGAGCGUUGUCCGGAAUCACUGGGCGUAAAGGGCGCGUAGGCGGCCUGAUAAGUAGGGGGUGAAAUCCUGCGGCUUAACCGCAGGGCUGCCUUCUAAACUGUCAGGCUAGAGCACAGUAGAGGCAGGUGGAAUUCUCGGUGUAGCGGUGGAAUGCGUAGAGAUCGGGAAGAACAUCAGUGGCGAAGGCGGCCUGCUGGGCUGUUGCUGACGCUGAGGCGCGACAGCGUGGGGAGCAAACAGG